rnacentral:rRNA from 1 species
UGGGGAAUAUUGCACAAUGGGCGCAAGCCUGAUGCAGCAACGCCGCGUGAACGAUGAAGGUCUUCGGAUCGUAAAGUUCUGUUGCAGGGGAAGAUAAUGACGGUACCCUGUGAGGAAGCCCCGGCUAACUACGUGCCAGCAGCCGCGGUAAUACGUAGGUCCCGAGCGUUGUCCGGAUUUAUUGGGCGUAAAGCGAGCGCAGGCGGUUAGAAAAGUCUGAAGUGAAAGGCAGUGGCUCAACCAUUGUAGGCUUUGGAAACUGUUUAACUUGAGUGCAGAAGGGGAGAGUGGAAUUCCAUGUGUAGCGAUGAAAUGCGUAGAUAUAUGGAGGAACACCGGUGGCGAAAGCGGCUCUCUGGUCUGUAACUGACGCUGAGGCUCGAAAGCGUGGGGAGCGAACAGG